GGAAAGGUGAAAAGCACCCCGACGAGGGGAGUGAAAGAGACCUGAAACCGAAUGCUUACAAGCAGUGGGAGCCUCCUUGAGGGGUGACCGCGUACCUUUUGUAUAAUGGGUCAGCGAGUUAAUUUUGCGAGCGAGCUUAAGCCGUUAGGUGUAGGCGCAGGGAAACCGAGUCUUAAUAGGGCGUUUUAGUUCGUAGGAUUAGACCCGAAGCCCGGUGAUCUAGCCAUGAGCAGGUUGAAGGUGCGGUAACACGUACUGGAGGACCGAACCCACUUAUGUUGAAAAAUGAGGGGAUGACUUGUGGCUAGGGGUGAAAGGCCAAUCAAACCGGGUAAUAGCUGGUUCUCCGCGAAAUCUAUUUAGGUAGAGCGUCAUGUAUUGCCGUCGGGGGUAGAGCACUGGAUGGGCUAGGGGGUCCCACAGACUUACCAAACCUAACCAAACUCCGAAUACCGAUGAGUAUGAGCAUGGCAGACAGACGGCGGGUGCUAAGGUCCGUCGUCGAAAGGGAAACAGCCCAGACCACCAGCUAAG
rnacentral:rRNA from 1 species